rnacentral:rRNA from 1 species
AGCAGCCGCGGUAAUUCCAGCUCCAAUAGCGUAUAUUAAAGUUGUUGCAGUUAAAAAGCUCGUAGUUGAAUUUCGGGGUUAGCAGGUCGGUCGUGCCAUCGGUAUGAACUGGUCUCGCUGAUCCCUCCCUCUUGACGAACUGUGAUGCCAUUAAUUUGGUGUCGCAGGGAAUCAGGACUGUUACUUUGAAAAAUUAGAGUGUUUAAAGCAGGCUCACGCUUGAAUACAUUAGCAUGGAAUAAUGAAAUAGGACGUUUGAUCCUAUUUUGUUGGCUUCUAGGAUUGACGUAAUGAUUAAUAGGGAUAGUUGGGGGCAUUAGUAUUCAAUUGUCAGAGGUGAAAUUCUUGGAUUUAUUGAAGACUAACUACUGCGAAAGCAUUUGCCAAGGAUGUUUUCAUUAAUCAAGAACGAAAGUUAGGGGAUCGAAGACGAUCAGAUACCGUCGUAGUCUUAACCAUAAACUAUGCCGACUAGGGAUCGGGAUGAUGUUAAUUUUUAAUGACU